rnacentral:rRNA from 1 species
AUUGAACGCUGGCGGCAGGCCUAACACAUGCAAGUCGAGCGAGCGGCGGACGGGUGAGUACUUUCUCGGAAACUGCCUGCUGGAGUGGGAUAACUACUGGACACGGUAGCUAAUACCGCAUACCAUCUGAUGUGCCCAGAUGGGAUUAUCUAGUAGGUUGGGUAACGGCUCACCUAGGCGACGAUCCCUAGCUGGUCUGAGAGGAUGACCAGCCACACUGGAACUGAGACACGGUCCAGAGUCCGACGUGAGGCAGCAGUGGGGAAUAUUGCACAAUGGGCGCAAGCCUGAUGCAGCCAUGCCGCGUGUGUGAAGAAGGCCUUCGGGUUGUAAAGCACUUUCAGCGGGGAGGCGUUACCCGCAGAAGAAGCACCGGCUAACUCCGUGCCAGCAGCCGCGGUAAUUC